rnacentral:rRNA from 1 species
GGUUAAGUUAGAAAGGGCGCAGGUGGAUGCCUUGGCACUAGGAGCCGAUGAAGGACGGGACGAACACCGAUAUGCUUCGGGGAGCUGUAAGCAAGCUUUGAUCCGGAGAUUUCCGAAUGGGGAAACCCACUGCUCGUAAUGGAGCAGUAUCCAUAUCUGAAUUCAUAGGAUAUGAGAAGGCAGACCCGGGGAACUGAAACAUCUAA